rnacentral:tRNA from 1 species
AUUAUCUUAGUAUAAUUUAGUACAAUUAUCUUCCAAAUAAUAAGUUUAAAACAGUUAAAGAUAAUA